AUUGAACGCUGGCGGCAGGCUUAACACAUGCAAGUCGAGCGGAGAUGAGGUGCUUGCACCUUAUCUUAGCGGCGGACGGGUGAGUAAUGCUUAGGAAUCUGCCUAUUAGUGGGGGACAACAUUCCGAAAGGAAUGCUAAUACCGCAUACGUCCUACGGGAGAAAGCAGGGGAUCUUCGGACCUUGCGCUAAUAGAUGAGCCUAAGUCGGAUUAGCUAGUUGGUGGGGUAAAGGCCUACCAAGGCGACGAUCUGUAGCGGAUCUGAGAGGAUGAUCCGCCACACUGGGACUGAGACACGGCCCAGACUCCUACGGGAGGCAGCAGUGGGGAAUAUUGGACAAUGGGGGGAACCCUGAUCCAGCCAUGCCGCGUGUGUGAAGAAGGCCUUAUGGUUGUAAAGCACUUUAAGCGAGGAGGAGGCUACUGAGACUAAUACUCUUGGAUAGUGGACGUUACUCGCAGAAUAAGCACCGGCUAACUCUGUGCCAGCCGCCGCGGUAA
rnacentral:rRNA from 1 species